CACGCUGGGAGCGCGGAGGCGGUGGCGCCUGAGGGAGCGCGGCCGCCAUUUUGUACCUCCUCGCUCGGUCCGGGGCGGUCGCGCGGGCGCUGCGGUUCUGAGGGAGCGCUCGGCUCUCCUGCUCUGUAGCUCGGGGUCGCUACCACAGCCAUGGGACGUAAGAAGAAGAAGCAGCUGAAGCCUUGGUGCUGGUAUUGUAAUAGGGAUUUUGACGAUGAAAAAAUCCUUAUACAGCAUCAGAAAGCAAAGCACUUUAAAUGCCAUAUAUGUCAUAAGAAACUGUAUACAGGACCUGGUUUAGCUAUACAUUGCAUGCAGGUACAUAAGGAAACAAUAGAUGCUGUUCCAAAUGCUAUUCCCGGAAGAACAGACAUUGAACUGGAAAUCUAUGGGAUGGAGGGCAUUCCAGAAAAAGAUAUGGAGGAACGGAGGAGGUUACUUGAACAAAAAACUCAGGAGAGCCAGAAAAAGAAACAACAGGAUGAUUCUGAUGAGUAUGAAGAUGACGAGUCUGCGGCUUCGACUUCAUUUCAACCCCAGCAAGUUCAGCCACAGCAGGGGUACAUUCCCCCAAUGGCACAGCCGGGUUUGCCUCCUGUGCCAGGUGCUCCAGGGAUGCCUCCAGGUAUUCCGCCAUUAAUGGCAGGUGUUCCACCUAUGAUGCCUGGAAUGCCUCCAGUUAUGCCUGGAAUGCCACCUGGGAUGAUGCCAAUGGGUGGAAUGAUGCCUCCUGGGCCAGGAAUCCCACCUCUUAUGCCUGGUAUGCCACCAGGUAGGUCAGGGUUGUCGAACUCGUACUAUGGUAUGCCUCCCCCCGUGGGGCCACGGCCUGGCAUGCCCCCAAUGACACAAGCACAGCCUGUCACAGCUCCAGGCAUCCUUAACCGGCCUCCAGCUCCUGCUGCAACAGCACCCACCCCGCAGCCUCCAGUCACUAAACCACUCUUCCCAAGUGCGGGGCAGAUGGGGACACCUGUCACAAGCUCAAGUGCAGCUUCCUCCAAUUCAGAAAGUCUGUCAGCGUCCUCUAAUGCUCUGUUUCCUAGCACAGCACAAGCUGCAGCAGCUGUGCCAGGGCCAGUUGGUACUGAUUUCAAACCUUUGAAUUCUACACCUGCAACGACAACAGAGCCCCCAAAACCUACAUUCCCUGCUUACACACAGUCCACAGCCUCAACCACUAGCACCACCAACAGUACUGCAGCUAAACCAGCCACAUCUAUAACAAGUAAGCCUGCUACCCUCACCACAACCAGUGCAACCAGUAAGUUGAUCCAUCCAGAUGAGGAUAUAUCACUGGAAGAGCGAAGGGCUCAGUUGCCCAAGUACCAGCGCAAUCUGCCUCGGCCAGGACAGGCUGCCCUGGGUAAUCCACCAGUUGGACCAAUUGGAGGUAUGAUGCCACCACAGCCAGGAAUUCCUCCACAGCAACAAGGAAUGAGACCUCCCAUGCCACCUCAUGGUCAGUAUGGUGCUCAUCACCAGGGCAUGCCAGGAUAUCUUCCUGGGGCCAUGCCUCCAUACGGUCAGGGACCUCCGAUGGUGCCCCCGUACCAAAGUGGACCUCCUCGACCUCCCAUGGGAAUGAGACCCCCCGUAAUGUCGCAAGGUGGCCGCUACUGACGCUCCUACUCACGCUCUAAUAGGUUUUUAGAAGUGAAGUAUAGUAAAUAUGGUUCGUUAAAUUGUGAAGGCGCUGGAAUUACAUGAACAUACCACCUUAAAGCCCUGCCAUAGGACAGGCUGAGGCAGAGUCUCAGUGUUGCCCUGUUCAGUCUGAGGCAAGUGGGAUUUAUUUUAUUCAUUCUGGGGGCUUUCACAGCUUUAUGGCUGUUGGAUAUUUAUGUCCCCAAACUUGCAGCAAGUUUGGUGAAGGCCCCUAAAUUUAUUUUAAUUUAGGUUUUUUAUUCUCUUUUGGUAGAUGGGCUCUAUAUUAAUAUUUAUCUUUUUAUUAUCGUUGUGGUUUUAAGAGUCUUAGGGGGAGGGAGGCUGUUUAAGAUGUUUGGGUACCUUUUCUCUUGGAAUGCAUUUCCUUGGAGGCUGCUCAGGGGUCCUUCAGCCACACUGCCCCUCCCCACCUUUCCCUGCAUUGCAUUUGUGCUGUAUUUGUUUUGGGGUUUGGUAGUGUUGACUUUGUGUAGUCUCUGAAUUAGUGGCAUGUAAAUACCAAGUACUAAUGUUUCCUCUUCUGGGGAGAUGUAUCUGUUGAAGUGCUUAAAAUAGGUUUUACCCAGCAGGUGACAUUUAUAGGCACCAAAUUGUGUAGCCCAAAUUCCAGAACAGUUUCUUUGCAGAAGGUUGAGAUGUUAAUCCUGCUGCAUACGUGAGCUGCACCUCAGCAAAUAUUAAUGUAGAGCCCUGGGAGGAACCUGAGGUUUGAUCCAAGUUGGUAACACAGAAUAGAAGAGUGGAAAAUGGAAGCUGCAGAUUUUAAUUCUGGAGUUUCUGGAAGAACCUUUUCCUCAACCUCUCCAAUACACCAAACUCAACAGUAUUUUGACUUGCAACAAUAGUGAAAGUCACAGCAGUUUUUUUUAAACUUUGUGAAAUUCUGUUGCAUAUUCAAAAUUUGCUUAGUUAUGUUUAUUUGAAGUUCCUUCUCUCACACAGUGACUAGCAAAAAAUUGUACCCUUUGUGAAGGAAAAGCUGCUCACUCUGGUGCAGAUAC